rnacentral:rRNA from 1 species
UACGAAGGGGGCUAGCGUUGUUCGGAAUUACUGGGCGUAAAGGGCGCGUAGGCGGCGUGUCAAGUCAGGCGUGAAAGCCCCGGGCUCAACCUGGGAACCGCGCUUGAGACUGGCAUGCUCGAGUUCGGGAGAGGAUGGUGGAAUUCCCAGUGUAGAGGUGAAAUUCGUAGAUAUUGGGAAGAACACCGGUGGCGAAGGCGGCUAUCUGGCCCGUAAUUGACGCUGAGGCGCGAAAGCGUGGGGAGCAAACAGG